CCAUAGAUGCCUUGCUAUGUCGAUGAAGAUAAGCUGCAAGGGUAUUUUCCACCAAACUUCAAGUCGAUGUGUAGCUUUUGGUUUACUGCUCUUAUUUGAACCAGCUAGAGGAGGAAAUGAUUCUUCUCCAAGACAAGCAGUAGUCCUUGAGCUUUGACUAAGAGCUUGAGCAUAACUAGAAGAGGGCUCAUAUGGCUCCUUAUCUGCAAGGGGCG
rnacentral:lncRNA from 1 species